rnacentral:lncRNA from 1 species
AAAAAACCACCAAAUUCAUAUGAAAAUAUCUCAUCUGUAGGUUUGGCAUCCCCAGUUCCAUAAUUCAAUGACAAUGGAAAGUAGUUUAACAACAAGAGAUUCUGGAGUUUCUGUUCGAGACUUAGGAUAGCCAACCAUUUUGCUUCACCAGCUCACCUGCAACCAAUGGACAAGUGGAGACUAUCAACAAGAUCAUCAAGUGUAUCUUAAAAAAGAAGCUGGAGAAAAAGAAAAUAGCAUGGCUAGAUGAGUUACGCAGUAUCUUAUAGGCAUACCUGACUACCCAUAACGUAUCUACUAGGGAGACACCAUUUUUUU